GGUAUAGUGAAUACUUUUUCACCAACAUCAUAAUUCAAAGUUCCUGAGAAGUAAAAUGUAAAACGUUUUAUAAAAUCUGUGCAGCCGAAUACUUACCUACAACAGAAAGACCGACUUACAAAGAUACGGUAACAUUCAAUACGAUGAAAAAGGAAGUCGUCAGUUGCUGUUGAGUUGAUUCUGAUGCAUGGAGACCCGAUGAGGGGCCACAGGCCGCUUCCUGGCUUUCAUCUUCUGGAAGCAAGUCACCAGGCCUUUCUGCCCAGGAGCCUCUCAGAAGGACAAAAGAGACCACACCCUCCCUGCCCUCAAGUCCACUCCAGCUCCUCAUGGCCCUCUAGCACAGAGUGGCCGGCCCAGUGGGUGUCAGAGGCUGUGGGUCUUUUCUGACACAGAAAGCCUCAUCUACUUCCCUUGGAGCACCUGGCGGUUUCGAACUGCUGAGUUAGCAGCCUCACUCGUCACCUGCUAGCUACAUCACGAGGAGCCUCUACCAGCCUUCAGUAAAGCAGCCCAGCACUUACUUGUGUGCAGUACCCAUAUCUGCUUCAAACAUACAAUUAAAGUUCUGAAAUAGGAACAAUGUCCAGUCAUCUUCACUUCUCUGUAGAAUGUCAUGUUAAAAUCCAAAUUCCAAUGGGUCUUAAUUUUCCCUGCCUCACGGCAGUGUUGUCAGAAAACCCAGGCAACCUGGACAGGAUUUUCACUUUCACAUCAGCGCCCCUUGCUCCAAGUUCAGAGGAGUAAUGACCCUCAAUUUUGUUUUGGUAAUGAGGUCCUAAGGCUUUUCUCAUGUACAUGCAGGCUAUCUGGCAGGUGAGAAAGCAGUUGUAUUAUUUCAAUUAAAAAUAAUAAUAAUGAUA